rnacentral:misc_RNA from 1 species
CAGCACCCUAUACACGUGCCUUUGUGCUUUGCUCAUUGAGCUGAAAAGCAAAGCGCGAAACCCUUAGCAGUGCUCUCUGUAAUCCAUACACCCCAUUCCCUCAAAAAUCCCAAAAAUUAAAUAAUGAAAUAAACUAUUCCUAAUAAUAACAAGAACCCUUUUAUCUUUGGAUCUCUCUCAUCACCUCCCCCUUCCUCCUCCUCUCUUUCUAGGGUUUUGCUUCAGCUCGUCUUUGGCUCCCUAUAUCACAUUUACUCCAUCUCGUUGGGACAAGUGGUCAAAAAGUUUUUUGGGUUUGUUCAUCAAUGGGUGAUGCAGAACAUGCACUUCCACCUUCAAAGAAGAGAGCUGCUGGAAGGGAGAUCUCAAGAGACAACCCUGGUCUUGAUGAUGAGGAAGAUUCUGCAGAGCAAGAGACUGGAACUUUCAAGAAGGCAAGUGAUGAGGUGCUGGCUAGCAGACGAAUUGUGAAAGUUCGCCGCAAUCAGACCUCAUCAACCCCUUCAUCUAAUCCAUUUGCUGGGAUUCAGCUGGUCCCUCCUACUGAACCAACAACAACCCCUGCUGUGGCAACAGCUGAAGUAGUUGCUGCUAGUGAGAAAGUUUCAGAAGAUGGGAAAACUGAUGCUGGUGAAGAAACUGAAGGGCAUAAAGAUGAGACUGGUAAGGAGUCAGAAAGCAAGGUUGAAGAGCCAGUAGCUGAAACUGCUGCAAAGGUGGAGAUCACAGAGGAUAAGGAGAAUAAUAAUGUAGUCAAUGAGGCAACUGAAUCCAAGGUUGAUAAUGAAAAGCCAGCAGAAGAUGAUAAGACUGAGAAUGAAAAAGCAGUGGGUGGAGAAGAGACAGAGAGUAAAAAAGCAGCAGAAGGUGACAAGACUGAAAGUGAAGUGAAGGAUAAUGGUAGUGAAAAUAUAGAUCCAAGUUCUGAAAGCACACGUUUGAGUUCAUUCCAACAGCUUUCAAGUAGCCAAAACGCUUUCACAGGACUUGCUGGAACUGGGUUUUCCACUUCUACAUUCACCUUUGGUUCGAGCACUGGUACCGGUUCUCUGUUUGGGCAGAAAAAUGACCAGCCUUCAUUUGGUUUUGGUCUUUCUAAUAAUGGUAGUUCUUCAAUCUUCAACACAACAGGGUCUUCUGCUGUCUCAAAGAAUGAGGGAACUGGUUUUCCAUCUAUGCAUGAGGUUCCAGUUGAGACAGGAGAAGAGAAUGAGAAUGUAGUUUUCUCUGCUGAUUCAAUUUUAUUCGAGUUUUUUAAUGGUGCCUGGAAGGAGCGCGGAAAGGGGGAACUCAAGGUGAAUGUCUCUACUGCUGGGACAGAAAGAGCCAGACUCCUUAUGAGAGCUAGGGGUAAUUACAGGUUAAUUCUGAAUGCAAGUCUUUACCCUGACAUGAAGCUCACAAACAUGGACAAGCGAGGUGUCACUUUUGCUUGCAUGAAUAGUACUGGUGAAAGUAAGGAUGGUCUUUCUACAUUUGCACUGAAGUUCAAGGAUGCCUCCAUAGUAGAAGAGUUCCGAGCAGCUGUAGCAGCAAAUAAAGUUAAAACGGCUACAGAUCUAAAGACACCAGAGAAUUCACCCAAGGCUUCGGAUGAGUGAAAGGAUCGCUGCAUCAAUACACAGAAUUCUUGUCCUUGGGCUGCUGUUUCCUUUUCUUUGCGGCAAAAGAGAAGAGCCUUGUUUUGGAGUCAUGCUUGAGACCUAUGUAGCAGAUCCUUUUUUAUUAUUUAACUUCAGUCUAGCCCUCAGGAGAAUGUUAUUAGUUUUAUUUUGGGUCAAUCCCAGGUUCGGACUGCAUAAUUUGUAGCUCAAGAGAGUUGGAAUGUUUGACAAUUUUAUAGUUGCUCCCUUUAAUAAGGGAUAUAUAUAAUAUCAAAUUGCAUAAGUUGCAUGUUGAUAUUAUCGCAUCAUAGCUUACCUUACAUAUCUUGUGUGCAAAGUUGUUUGCAAUGGGGUCUUAUGCUCUGCAUAUGACACUAAUUUCAAUAACAUCUGAAUGCUUUCUUUUGCAUUGAUGAAUUAUGGU